rnacentral:rRNA from 1 species
GACGAACGCUGGCGGCGUGCCUAAUACAUGCAAGUCGAGCGAACAGAAGCAGCAGAAUUACUUCGGUAAGGACGCUGUGGAAGUUAGCGGCGGAUGGGUGAGUAACACGUGGGUAACCUACCCUUAAGACUGGGAUACCACUUGGAAACAGGUGCUAAUACCGGAUAGGAGUAUGAGCUGCAUGGCUUAUACUUUAAAGGCGGCGAAAGCUGUCACUAAAGGAUGGACCCGCGGUGCAUUAGCUAGUUGGUAAGGUAACGGCUUACCAAGGCGACGAUGCAUAGCCGAGUUGAGAGACUGAUCGGCCACAUUGGGACUGAGACACGGCCCAAACUCCUACGGGAGGCAGCAGUAGGGAAUCUUCCACAAUGGACGCAAGUCUGAUGGAGCAACGCCGCGUGAGUGAAGAAGGUUUUCGGAUCGUAAAGCUCUGUUGUUGGUGAAGAAGGAUAUAGGUAGUAACUGGCCUAUAUUUGACGGUAAUCAACCAGAAAGUCACGGCUAACUACGUGCCAGCCGCCGCCGUAACAC